CAGUCGCCGCGGUAAUACCGAGGGUGCGAGCGUUAAUCGGAUUUACUGGGCGUAAAGCGUGCGUAGGCGGCUUCUUAAGUCGGAUGUGAAAUCCCUGAGCUUAACUUAGGAAUUGCAUUCGAUACUGGGAAGCUAGAGUAUGGGAGAGGAUGGUAGAAUUCCAGGUGUAGCGGUGAAAUGCGUAGAGAUCUGGAGGAAUACCGAUGGCGAAGGCAGCCAUCUGGCCUAAUACUGACGCUGAGGUACGAAAGCAUGGGGAGCAAACAGGAUUAGAUACCCGGGUAGUCCCUGUCUCUUAUAA
rnacentral:rRNA from 1 species